UACGUAGGGGGCAAGCGUUGUCCGGAUUUAUUGGGCGUAAAGAGCGUGUAGGCGGCUUGGCAAGUCCGUUGUGAAAACUCGAGGCUCAACCUCGAGACGCCGGUGGAAACUGCAAAGCUAGAGUCCGGAAGAGGAGAGUGGAAUUCCUGGUGUAGCGGUGAAAUGCGCAGAUAUCAGGAGGAACACCGGUGGCGAAGGCGGGUCUCUGGGCCGAUACUGACGCUGAGGAGCGAAAGCGUGGGGAGCGAACAGG
rnacentral:rRNA from 1 species